rnacentral:rRNA from 1 species
GAUGAACGCUAGCGGCGGGCUUAAUACAUGCAAGUCGAGGGGCAGCACGAUGUAGCAAUACAUUGGUGGCGACCGGCGGACGGGUGCGUAACACGUAUGCAACUUGCCCUAUACUGGGGGAUAGCCCGAUGAAAUUCGGAUUAAUAACCCAUAACAUCAGGAUCAGCAUUGAUCUUGGUUCAAAGUUCCGACGGUAUAGGAUGGGCAUGCGGUCGAUUAGCUUGUUGGUGAGGUAACGGCUCACCAAGGCGACGAUCGAUAGGGGGCCUGAGAGGGUGAUCCCCCACACUGGUACUGAGACACGGACCAGACUCCUACGGGAGGCAGCAGUAAGGAAUAUUGGUCAAUGGGCGCAAGCCUGAACCAGCCACGCCGCGUGAAGGAAGACGGCCCUAUGGGUUGUAAACUUCUUUUCUACGGGAAUAAACCUCGGGACGUGUCCCGAGCUGAAGGUAUCGUAGGAAUAAGGAUCGGCUAACUCCGUGCCAGCCGCCGCGGUAACAC